UUAAGGUUUCUUCAUUUUCGUUUAGAAUUUUUCUGGAAUUUUUGUUGUUGAAGGUUGAUGGAUAUGAUAUGAAGAUGAAGAAGAGGAAAAG
rnacentral:pre_miRNA from 1 species